AGCGAACGCUGGCGGCAGGCCUAACACAUGCAAGUCGAACGAACCUUUCGGGGUUAGUGGCGGACGUGUGAGUAACACGUGGGAACGUGCCUUUAGGUUCGGAAUACCUCAGGGAAACUUGUGCUAAUACCGAAUGUGCCCUUCGGGGGAAAGAUCUAUCGCCUUUAGAGCGGCCCGCGUCUGAUUAGCUAGUUGGUUGAGGUAAUGGCUCACCAAGGCGACGAUCAGUAGCUGGUCUGAGAGGAUGAUCAGCCACAUUGGGACUGAGACACGGCCCAAACUCCUACGGGAGGCAGCAGUGGGGAAUCUUGCGCAAGGGGCGAAAGCCUGACGAAGCCAUGCCGGGGGAAUGAUGAAGGUCUUAGGAUUGUAAAAUUCUUUCACCGGGGACGAUAAUGACGGUACCCGGAGAAGAAGCCCCGGCUAACUUCGUG
rnacentral:rRNA from 1 species